GUUUUGGGAUUUAGAAUGUAAUUCUCAUCUCCCGUUUGGCUCCGCCUCCGAUCUAUUUCACGGGAGAACACACCCCGCCCCCUUCAUGUUUUCCCAGGACACUGACUCAUGGACAUUUUGGAGAACAAGCCGGUCGCCUUGUGGACUGUCGGCGUCUGGAUGUCCUCGGGCAUCAUUUUCCUUGCUUCCCCCGUCCCCUGUGUUUCAGCUGCAAAGGCUGGAUGAGGUGAUAGUGAACGUUUUUGAAAAGAUCACUUCCUGUCCGACCUGGCAUCCCAUCACGGGCCUUUCUGAGGCUGGCAGAUUGCUUCAGCGGACACUCGCCAGGUUCCCCCCGCUGUGCCAGGAACAUCCAGCACCCGGCUCCUCCCUCUUCCUUGCUGCAGGGCGGGGCCUGGGUGCUGCUGAGGUGUAUGUGGCCGCCCCGCCUUGGCUCUGCUGGAGAUCCCGCACAGCCUUCAGGGCUGCUGGCACCGCCCUGUGCCGGGUGGUCACGGAGCGCCCUCGCCACCUUUCCUCAUUCUCCCAAGCUGUCCAGCUGCUUCCGGCCCGCCGGACCUUCAGCAGAGGGAGGCUGGACCAGGUCUGAGGGUGGUGGCCUGGGCUCUGCUGCCCUGCCUCGCGCUUUCUGCAGCCUCGUGGACACUUCUGACUGGACAGCGUGCAGCUGGGAUGACCGAGUCACAGGGAGCCAGCCUGGGUUCAGACAUGCUGCAGGAGAAGGCAGAGUUGGGGGCCUCUCGUCCAAGAGUUCUCACUGCCAAGCUGCAGAGAUCCACAGCCCGAGAUGCACUGACCAGCUGGCAGCUCUGAGCCGUGUUCGAAUCCCAGCCUUGAGAUGCAGCCAGAGCUGCUCAGAUGUUUCCACUCAGUGUUUGGCAAAGAUGUCCCGACAGGGAACAAGAGCGAAGAAAGGCAGCGGCCUGGGGGUCGAGGGCAGGGAGAAAGGCUGCUGCCCUUUGGGAGUUUGCUGUUGGGCCUCCGCCGGUCUCCUCCCCUGAGGGUGCGGCCACGCCAGGCGGGCAGGGGGCGCAGGGCGGGAGCGGCCCUCCGACCUCCCCGGGAUGCCGGCUCCAGCCGUCGCUUCUGGCGUUGGUCAGUUUGUGUUCCACAGAGCCUUCUACAGAGCCAAGGGGGACAAAACUUUUGUGUGUAACCCAGGGAAACGGAGAAUCCACAGCCUGGGCCGCUCCCGGGUGUGGGCCGCCAGUGGGGGGUCCCGGAGCCCAGGAGCUGGGAGUCGGUGGUGUUGUGGAAAGAGGUCUCUGGUUGCCAAAACUCAGAAAGAGCUGGACGACUAGGCCGAUGCUAAGGCAGAAACCCCCAGCUCACCUUCAUCCACCACGCAUUCUCAGGAGAGUUUCGAGUUUAAAAGAGCCCAAACUUCAUCCUUUCAAUUCAGGUAUUUUCUUAAUGGAAAUCUCGCCUCAUUCCAUGAGGAUUUUAGGCAGCUCCCGGGAGAUGCAUAGAGCAAAGUAUACAGUGUGGAAGCAGGAAGAAAAUUCAGGGCCCAGUGUCUGGAACCAGAGGGGGUGAUGGUUGCACAACAUCGUGAAUUUCGUCAAUGCCCUUGAAGUUUCCACUUUAAAGUGGUUACAAUGGUACAUUUUAUGUUAUGCAUUUUCUACUACAAUAAAAAACAAUGUUAAAAGAAAACGGGAGUCCGGGCCAGGGAAGAUUGUCAUUGGAAUGGGGUGGAAUGGAAGAGGGCUUUUCACCAAAAGGCCUUCCCAGCUGAUGAAACGGAGGUGGGGUUUGCUCUUCACUCUUCCGUCGGCAGCCAGAAGGCAAAGAAAACCACGUUCGUAUCCUUCUGAAAAUAGACGCUGAGCCCCUACGGUGUCAGGCCUGCGUGGGGGACACAGUGCUGGUAAUGAUGAGACCAAAAUACCCCUGCCCUUGGGGAUCCCGCGGCGGUAGGAAGCCCUUUAUACAGCUGCCCCUCGUGGUGGGGACAGCAGCGUGAUUUCCACGGGGGGAGUCUGUUUUCGGGCCGUGGACUCUCCAAGAAAUCUCCCCCGGCCUCCUGCGGGGAACAGGGAGCUUUUGGAUCAUCUAAGGCCCCAAACUGGGCACCACAAGGGAGAUAAAGGAAAUAAUCUGAUAAUCUGUGGACUUUGAAUCAAGAAACUCAAGUGAAAGAAAUGUUGGGCUAAUGACACAACAGGACAUGCACUGAAAGUGACAGGCCUGGAAGAGGGCAAGGCGCCCAGAGAAGGGGGGAAUCAAGUGGUUGCAGACGUUCCAGAAACUUCCUGGAGGAGAGAACGCUGAGGCAGACACUCGGGGCCAAGGGAGGUCUGUGUGUGCAGGGGGAACCAUUUUGUCACCUUCCCCCACCCUGUUCCUAGGCAACCGUGCAUUUGCAUCCUGAGGAUCUACUCACCUGGCAGAAUUGGGGGGCCUCCCUGUGGGGCUGCUCCAGUGUCCUCACAAGGGCAGGUAGCGUGGUGGCCGCUUCCCCAGAGAGCUGGGGAGGCUGCAGUGACCUUUGUGACCCAGUCUUGGAAGCCACGCAGGCCUGCUUCAGGGCGGGAGGGGACCACCGUCCUGGCGGCAGGAGGAGGGGAAGUAGAAGACGGAAGAGGGGCUGUGAUCAAAGCGCUCACAGCUGAGAAGGGGCGACAGUUGAUGGCAGGCAGGCGUCCUCAGAUUCAGGAAGCUGGGUGACGAGAGGUAAGCCACCGCAGGCACACGAUAGCACACUGGGGCCGUGAACGAAGAGAAGGUCCUAUGUAAUCAGACAGACGGAAAAGACCGAUUCCCCAUCAAGGACAGCCAUGCUGACAACAAACUCUCAAAGCACAGCAACGGGAAGGUGUCCCCAAAGUGCUCCCCAAACAACAUUCCCCUUCCAUCCAUCAGGUACCCGCGAAAUGCCGUUUAAAAAACGGUGGAUAGAGACAACGUCAGACAAACAAGAUCUGAGUUAGAGCAUCCCCACAGACCCUCAGGAAAAGGACUCAGAAAAAGUACGAUUCAGGAGGAAAGAGAAUGAUCCAAAGGGAGAAGGAGACGCCAGGAGGAAUGGUUCGCAAAGGUUUUGUUUAGAGUUUCUCACGUGUUUACCAAACAUAGAAGGAGGCUGUGCUUGGAGGUCAGGGAGGGAGGGGCGGGGGGGCAGUGCUCGGGCACAGCCUGCAUCCCCUGCAGGGAAAGUGGCCACCACUGUCCCAAGGGCACUCCUACACGCCUGCACACGCACACACGCAUUCAGUCAGACUGGUGCUGCUGCUGGAAGAAAUGGUAUAAAGAAGAGACCCAGCCCAACACCAGCCUUGUCCACUGUGACUGUAGAAAACAAAUCUCAUUUGAGGGAUGAAAAAGAUAGAACUUCAAUGCCAGCCAAGAAUAACAAGGAAGAUGGGAGGGGAUGAUAGGAGUGAAAGUACUUUAGAUUCCUCUUCUUGUUUCAGGGAAAGGUAGAGAAAUCAAUUUUCAGCUUAGAUAGGCACGUCAAACCUAUAAGGAUAACUGCUAAAAACAAAUAGGGUGGAAAAAGCAGCGGAGGGGAAAAAGAGAACUGAAGAGAACCUCCGUCCAUAGAAAGGCAGGACAGGGUUGGGCCGGGAGCCUGGACGGGUCAGGAUGGAUAGAAUGCACACGGAAGGCAGAGUGAUUUCAACUACACCUGUCAUCACACUAAACAUAGAAGGACAAAACUUACCGGUUAAAAGAUGCUGACAGAUUGGAGAAAUAUAUCAAACCUAGGCUGUGCUGUUUACAUAAGAAAUUCCUCACAAGGGAAGAAAACAAAGGCAGGGCCACCAAGGACCCGGAUCCUUGGCAAGUGAAGUCUUGGGUCACCCCACCAGCAGAGGUCAUGCAGAGGUCAAGGGGCAAUGGAACCCUAGGUGGAAGAAAGCCCCACAUUGUUCCUGUCCCCCCUGCCCCUUUCAAUCUGCCCGGCAGGAAAAGCGCUGGUACAGCUGGUUGUACAUUUCAGGGGGGAGCGUGUCCUGCAGUCAUACUGACACUGCCCACGAUGGUGUGGCAGCUCCUGGGACAUGGUCCAUCCUCUGUGCUGGGGACAUGAGCUUUUCAACCAGAGGGAGGACAGGACUGGGUGAGUGUUGAGGGGCAGAGGGGUGGAAUGUGUCUGAUGUUUUUUUGUUUGUUUGUUUUUGCGGUGCGCGGGCCUCUCACUGUUGUGGCCUCUCCCGUUGUGGAGCACAGGCUCUGGACACGCAGGCUCAGCGGCCAUGGCUCACGGGCCCAGCAGCUCCGCGGCAUGUGGCAUCUUCCCAGACCGGGGCACGAACCCGCGUCCCCCGCAUCGGCAGGCGGACUCUCAACAACUGAGCCACCGGGGAAGCCCUGAUGUUUUUUUUUUUUUAAAAACAGCUUUAUUGGGAUAUAAUUCACAUACCAAAAAGUUCACCCAUUUUAAUGUACGAUUUAGUGACAUUAAUUACAUUGACAGUGCUGUACAGCCAUCACCACUAUUUAUUUUUGAAACACUUUCAUCACCCCAACAGAAACUCUGUCAUUGCUAAGCAACAACCUCCCAUCUUCCCCAGCCCCUGGUAACCCCCAAUCUACUUUCUGUCUCUAUGAAUUUGCCUCUUCUCAAUAUUUCAUGUACAAUAUUUGUCCUUUUGUGUCUGGUUUCUUUCCUUAGCAUCACGUUUUCAAGGUUCAUCCAUGUGGUAGCACGAAUCAGUGCUUCAUUCCUUUUUAUGGCUAAAUAAUAUUCCACUGUACGGAUGGACCAUGAUGUAUUGUUUAUUCUUUGUCUGUUGGUGGGUGCAUGCGUCUGCACCUUUAGCUAUUGUGGGAAGUGCUGCUGUGAGCCUAUGUGUACCUGGACUUGGGUUCCUGUUUCCAGUUCCUUUGGGUCUGUACCCAGGAGUGGAAUCACUGGGUCAUCUGGAAACUCCACGUUUAGCUUUAUGUUUUCCGAGGUGGCUGCACCAUUUUACAUUUGUUGGUAUUUUGCUUGCCCCUCCGUACCCACGGUCCGCCUUUCUCCCCUCUGCUCUCUGUCCUGAGGGUGGUCCUGGGUAGACCAUAUAUAUCAAAGGCACCUUGCUCCUCUGGCUUCCAGGUGGACUCAGCCACUGGGUGGGGGUGGGAAGAAAGGAGGGAGGGGAGUAGGCAGGCUGUGCGACCCCCCCCCCCACCCCGAGGUCGUCUCUGCUGGCCGUGCAUCUCCUCCCAGGCUGAUUUCUCCACGUGGGGUCUGGAAACUACCUCCCCUCCUCCCUGGGGGCUGGGAUGACAGCCCCGGUCACCGUGCUGUCCCUAGGACACCUAUUCUCCUGCACCACUGCAAUCGUCCCUUUGGGAAUAAACCCUCCUUGAAUGAUCUUGUCCUGAGAGAGCACCUGCCUCCUGCUGGGGCCCUGACUCAGGCGAGUUGGAAAUCAGACCCUCUGCAGGUUCCAACUGGCGUGGCCCCCUCUGUCUCAGCCACUGAUCCAGCCCCACACCAAGACCAGCGCCCAGCACACGGCAAAGCUCAGUAGAUUUUUUUUUUUUUUUUGAUAAACAAAGGAAUGAUUUCAGGAUUCAAAUCAGGUGCCUGUAUUCUAAGCACAACCGAGACUCAGAGCUCCUGGCCUGGGUCCUGACUACAGAAAGACUGGCUUUCCCUUUAGGGGCCUCCCAUCUACAGGACAAACCAAACAGGACAUUCCCGGAAGAGGUGGAAUUUCCUCUUGCAGAAGACCUCGGAAGCCCUGCAGUCGACGGUCUGCCUACCUUGGGCUCACCUGGGCGGGGGACCAAUCCUGUCUAAGUUCAGUGUCUUCAUCCGUGAGAUGGGGAAAUUGCUAGCCUCACUGUGACGACUCUGCAGAGAAGGCUUGCAGAGAGGGGCUCGCCUUGCCUGGCGCAUACGGGGAGGCCUGGAGCAGCCUCUGUGAUGACAUCAUACUUCACACCUGAUACGUCCUUAGGGCACUGAGUACCCCUCCUGAAAUGCUCGUGGUCUGACGGCGUUGACAUGUCUGCUCAGCACGGCCCGCCACUUGUCUUGUAACCAGGGCAGAGGCACAGAUGCCGAGACCAGUGGGUUACAAACCACCGGUCACUUCCCACUCUGCCUGCCCCACACAGAAGGAGGCUUAGCUUCCACUGAGAGAGGUGGGCAGGAAGGGUUUCUUGGGGGGUUGUGGGGUUGCUGGGGGUGAUGGAGAAGAGGGUACUUCCUUCUCACGGGGUGCCUGGUGAAGGGGCGCCAGGGAGCCCCCUGCAGCCUGACUUGUGUUCUGUGGCUUGUGGCUGGUGGACCAGCUGUGUUUGGAGCCCAGCCCUGCCCGGCUGUGUUCCUAGUAAGUAGCAUCGUGUACAGAUGCUCGGGAAGCAUUUGCUGAAUAAAUAAACACCGGACAUGCGAGUCCAGAGAAACCCUACGAAACAGGAAAGAGGGCAAAGGACGUUUAUAAGAGUCCGUUAAGAAUGCCAACGCAUGGAAACAGCUCCAAACCCAUCGACAGGGAUCGGGACAAAUGAAUUGUGGUGGAUCUGUGUGGCAGAAUGUUACUCAGAAGUACAGGGAUGGAUAACGGCUCCAUGAAUCAGCAGGGAUGAAACGUAAGUGAGGGAGAAAGGCAAGUGGGAGACAGAUGGAUAGUCAGUGCUGGUUCCGUAAAUGCCACACCUGCUGCUGCUGUAAGAUGACCAGAGAUUUGGUAGCUUAACGCAGUACACACAUAUGAUCUUACAGUCUUGGGGGUCAGAGUCCAAAAGCCGUCUCAAUGGACUGAAGUCCGGGUGUCCGCAGGGCUGGGUCCUUCUGGAGGCUCCAGGGGGGCAUCGGCCGCCCAGCCUGUCCCAGCUCUGGAGGCGCCCGCGUUCCUUGGCUCCCAGCCCUUCCUGGGCUCCCGGCAGCGUCUUCCCUCCUUGACCUCAGCCUCCGUCCUCACAUCUUCUCUCCGCUCUGACCUCCUGCCUCUCUCCCGUAAGGACCCUUGUGACCCCACAGGACCCAGCCCCAUCAUGCAAGAGAGGUUAACAGUCCAGUGGACUUUGGUACAUUCAUGUGUUGUCCGACGGUUACCUCUAUCUACUUGGAAUACGUUUCCCUCAGCUGAAUAACAUCCUUUACCCAUCACUCCCCCUCAUCCCCUGUAUGUCUGGCUUCUCCCCUCAGCACCAUGUCUUCGGGGCUCGAGUAUAGCAUGUGUCAGCGCUUCACCUCUUUGCACGGCUGAAUGACACUCCGUUGUGUGGGUGCCCAUGCGUGGUUCAUCCAUCCAGCAUGGUACUGCCGCUGUGACAGCGCUGUGUGCCCGGGCCAGUCCUCAUGUGUCCACCUGGAGAGGAUGCUCGUAACCGGUGCCUCCCCUUGCCUGUGGCCCACUCCCCGCCCCCAGCGUUCUCUCCAUCCUCCAGAUGAACAGCCUGCCCUCCAAUCCCUGUCUCUGGCUCUGUUUCUGGAGAAAUGAAAAUUGCACAGAAAUUUCAUGAACGUUGACAUUCGUGGUGUCUGAGCCGUCUCCUCUCAGCCAGUGCUCUCCAGCGUGGCAGCCCAGACAUGGCCGUGAAUUGAGAUCGAAUUAGAUGCCACCUGAAGGUUCCCAGGCAGGCAGGUCACGUUUCCAGUGCCCCAGGCCCCAUGUGUCUGUCCAGUGGCUGCUGAAUUGCAUGGGAAGAGGUAGGACAACCCCCCAUCACAGAAAGGACUACUGGACAGUGCUGCUCUGCACUUUCCGAUGUGUUUGAAGUAUCUUACACUUAA